UACGUAGGGGGCAAGCGUUGUCCGGAUUUAUUGGGCGUAAAGAGCGUGUAGGCGGUUUGGUAGGUCCGUUGUGAAAACUCGAGGCUCAACCUCGAGACGCCGAUGGAAACCAUCAGACUAGAGUCCGGAAGAGGAGAGUGGAAUUCCUGGUGUAGCGGUGAAAUGCGCAGAUAUCAGGAAGAACACCCGUGGCUAAGGCGGCCUCUCUAGUACGGUACUGACGCUGAGACGCGAAAGCGUGGGGAGCGAACAGG
rnacentral:rRNA from 1 species